UGCACAGCGGAAUCUAUAUAGGAAUGUGA
rnacentral:piRNA from 1 species